AUUGAACGCUGGCGGCAUGCCUUACACAUGCAAGUCGAACGGUAACAGGUCUUCGGAUGCUGACGAGUGGCGAACGGGUGAGUAAUACAUCGGAACGUGCCUAGUAGUGGGGGAUAACUACUCGAAAGAGUGGCUAAUACCGCAUGAGAUCUACGGAUGAAAGCAGGGGAUCGCAAGACCUUGUGCUACUAGAGCGGCCGAUGGCAGAUUAGGUAGUUGGUGGGAUAAAAGCUUACCAAGCCGACGAUCUGUAGCUGGUCUGAGAGGACGAUCAGUCACACUGGGACGGGGACACGGCCCAGACUCCGACGGGAGGCAGCAGUGGGGAAUUUUGGACAAUGGGCGCAAGCCUGAUCCAGCAAUGCCGCGUGCAGGAGGGAGGCCUUCGGGUUGUAAACUGCUUUUGUACAGAACGAAAAGCCCUGGGUUAAUACCCUGGAGUCAUGACGGUACCGUAAGAAUAAGCACCGGCUAACUACGUGCCAGCCGCCGCUGUAA
rnacentral:rRNA from 1 species